rnacentral:rRNA from 1 species
UACAGAGGGGGCAAGCGUUGUUCGGAAUUACUGGGCGUAAAGGGGGUGCAGGCGGGCUGUUAAGUGGUGUAUGAAAUAUCCCGGCUCAACCGGGAAGGGUUAUGCCAGACUGGCAGUCUAGAGAGCGAGAGAGGGACGUGGAAUUCCGGGUGUAGUGGUGAAAUGCGUAGAGAUCCGGAGGAACCCCAGAGGCGAAGGCGGCGUCCUGGCUCGCAUCUGACGCUCAGACACGACAGCAUGGGGAGCGAACGGG